rnacentral:lncRNA from 1 species
UUGCUUUUCCUGUUUCUGCUGUUUUCUGUCUUUCCACCUACCACCAUUGCCGCCAACCACCAUGCCACCGGUCACCGCUAUCUCUGUCAUUGUCGCAACCUCGCGAGAAGCCGGACCUCCAGCCCACACCCAACAUUGCCACCAUUGCCGUUCUCCACCUUGGCUCAAGCAUCUAAGGACCUCCCUAUGUUCUCUCUUCUCUCUUCCCAUCUCUUAUGGCUUGGUAGACUCAAAAAAGAGGAUCCUAGAUUUCCUUCUCAAUGGACCCAAGUUGACCCAGUUGUGGAAUCAAAUGGGUGACCACCCAUCUUAUUGGCCUACAACCUAGCCUUCAUUGGCUAUCCAUGGACCCAUCAUUAACAAAAUCUAAUCUGCUACCUUAUCUUGAUUGGACAUCCGUUUAUUGAUUUGAAGGAUUUGAUUAUGCUGUUUGAUUGAUUUGGGCUGCUAGAUGCCGCCACCUAGUCAGCCUUAUCUUCCUUUUUGUACCAAUCUCCUUUCAUGUCAGCAUUUAUUUUUGUAUGGAGGAGAAAUCAACUGACAAGAAAUGUUAAGGAGAUUGACGCUCUAAUUCCUAAAUCAAGAUAAAUCCCUAAAUCUUUAUUUCUUAAUUAGCCAUGUAUUGGAUAGAGUCGAGAAACUUGGGACUAAGAAUAAUUUAGAUAUUAAAGCUUUGAACAUAAGAAUCUAACAAUAAUUUAUUUUUUCUUAUACUGAUGG